UGAACGCUAGCGACAGGCCUAACACAUGCAAGUCGAGGGGCAGCACAAGGAGCAAUCUGAGGUGGCGACCGGCGCACGGGUGAGUAACACGUAUGCAACCUGCCUGUAAGCGGGGAAUAACCCGUUGAAAGACGGACUAAUACCGCAUAAUACUAAAUUACUGCAUGGUAAUUUAUUUAAACAUUUAUGGCUUACAGAUGGGCAUGCGCAUGAUUAGCUAGUUGGAGAGGUAACGGCUCCCCAAGGCAACGAUCAUUAGGGGUUCUGAGAGGAAGGUCCCCCACACUGGUACUGAGACACGGACCAGACUCCUACGGGAGGCAGCAGUGAGGAAUAUCGGUCAAUGGACGAGAGUCUGAACCAGCCAAGUCGCGUGCAGGAAGAAUGUCCUAAUGGAUUGUAAACUGCUUUUGCAGGGGAAUAAAGUGCAUCACGUGUGAUGUUUUGUAUGUACUCUGCGAAUAAGGAUCGGCUAACUCCGUGCCAGCAGCAGC
rnacentral:rRNA from 1 species